ensembl:rRNA 5S_rRNA 5S ribosomal RNA
AUCUACCGCCAUACCACCCUGACCUCAGAAACUGAACAGGGUCGAGCCGGGUCCGUACUUGGUUGGGAGCCUGCCAGGGAAUACCCGGGGCGGUAGGCU